rnacentral:rRNA from 1 species
UACGGAGGGGACUAGCGUUGUUCGGAAUUACUGGGCGUAAAGCGCACGUAGGCGGAUUUGUAAGUCAGGGGUGAAAGCCCGCGGCUCAACCGCGGAAGUGCCUCGGAUACUGGCCCCCUCGAGGGAGGUAGGGGCGUGUGGAACUUCCGGUGGAGCGGUGAAAUGCGUAGAGAUCGGAAGGAACGCCGGUGGCGAAAGCGACACGCUGGACCUCUUCUGACGCUGAGGCGCGAAAGCCAGGGGAGCAAACGGG